rnacentral:rRNA from 1 species
GACGAACGCUGGCGGCGUGCCUAAUACAUGCAAGUAGAACGCUGAAGGAGGAGCUUGCUCUUCUGGAUGAGUUGCGAACGGGUGAGUAACGCGUAGGUAACCUGCCUGGUAGCGGGGGAUAACUAUUGGAAACGAUAGCUAAUACCGCAUAAGAGUAGAUGUUGCAUGACAUUUGCUUAAAAGGUGCAAUUGCAUCACUACCAGAUGGACCUGCGUUGUAUUAGCUAGUUGGUGGGGUAACGGCUCACCAAGGCGACGAUACAUAGCCGACCUGAGAGGGUGAUCGGCCACACUGGGACUGAGACACGGCCCAGACUCCUACGGGAGGCAGCAGUAGGGAAUCUUCGGCAAUGGACGGAAGUCUGACCGAGCAACGCCGCGUGAGUGAAGAAGGUUUUCGGAUCGUAAAGCUCUGUUGUAAGAGAAGAACGAGUGUGAGAGUGGAAAGUUCACACUGUGACGGUUUCUUACCAGAAAGGGACGGCUAACUACGUG